CUCUUCUAGCCUUGCCAGAGUCUUUGCCUGGUUUCCACAUUUGAAGCAGAUGGAGCAAGACAGCCUGGUAGGUCUGGAGGUUGCCAGUGAAGAUGAUCAUCCAAAGGAAAAUGGCUUUGAUGAAUAUUUCAGGCAUUUGUAACGCUGGAAGUGACAACAACAGGAUAGAGGAGAUGACUGUGCAUAAGUAAAAGCCAGGCUACAGCUAAAGGCACUUCCUCAGCUUGUUGUUUAAAGAUUAUGGAAGACUAUAAGGCUGACUUUGUUUAUUCCCAUAUAAACAUAAAAGAUGUUCAAA